GGACGCAGGCUUGGGAAGGGCCACAACUCAGGAAGAGAGAGGGCUGCUGGAGGCCAGGAAGAGCAGGGCCAGGAGGGCAUGGAGAGCCGGACGGGGCUCCUGACCCUGGAGGCUACCCAGAGAAGCCGACUGAGGCUCAGGAAACCUUGGAGCAAAUUCAGCAUUUCCAGAAGGACCUUUAACCCAGUGGUCUCUAAGUGAGCUGGGGCUUUAGCCAAGCAUCAGGGACUCAGGACUUGGAUCGCAAGCAGUUUCUGCAGGGUGUGAAGCCAUCUGACCACAGCUGAUCCACACGAGGGCACCCUCAGGCAUUCUGAUUGGGGCCCACCAGCUCUUGCAGCUGGCACUUCCUUCAGCUCCAUUUGGAGGGCUCUCCAACCAAAGGCCGAAAGAGCCUAAUAGACCCUCAGUAAAUGUUGACUGAAGAAAUCACUCGACGCCUCUGGCCAGUUAUUGAGUAGGCCCAGUCAGAUGUUUGAAGAUCACUGCAGUGGCUGUUUAAGAAACAAAGACUGCUGGACCAACACAAAUUACACCAGGUCCAAAGCUGUGUACCUCAAGGAUCUUCUCAGGUCAACACUACAGAGCCAAGGAAUGGCAGCUCAAACUGUAGACAAGGCAACAGAGCUUUUCCCAGAAAACCUUGAGCCAUUUAGGCUGACGUGGAACCUUACCUAUUCUGUCAAUAACAUAUUUUAGCAGAGCAAGGAAGAUAGUUUUUAACUGCUUGACUGUAACACAAAUUACUGUAGCAUUAUUUUAUACCCUAAAACAUGAAAAGAAUGUGUCCAUGGAUUAUAUACGUAUGUGUAAAAUAAGAAAAUAAAAAUAUCACUUUAAAAAUGAGUCCUGGCUAAACAGUAUUGCUAUGGUUAG